CCUGGGGUGUAUCCAAUUACGUUCCAACACAGCGGGUACGGAACACCAACGGAGUCAGUCUGUUAUUCAAAAAGGGGGGAAAGUGCAAAAGACGUGCUGUAUGUAUGAUAAGUUAAGGUGCUGUGUGUGUGUGCACGAUCUACGAAAGCAAAGAGCAAAGAUGAAAUACUACCAGCUUUUGAAUUAUAUGUUUGAAUCAUUUAAUACGUCUUGACGUUUGCGUUGGAAUUGCAAAUGCACGUUAAUUUAUUCAUCUUUAUUUUAUCAAGCGUUGUGUCUGCUGUUGUUGUUGUUUUUUUAAACCGAAAUCUCUUAGCGUUACGCGUUACGCGAGUGAAUUUGAUCAAGAUUGUUGUGUGUUAACGCAACGGCUCGUGGCGUAGCAGUAUGCGUAUGUUUCUCUCUCUCCCUCCCUACUACCAUCAUCACACGCCGGCCGUUAGGAUUUGAUUCGUUCGGAUCGUUUACAACGGCUCCGUCGGUGACGUCACAAACCAAACAGCAGUAGGCGAGCACGAUCGCCGAACCGGCCCAUCCCCGAGUACCUUUCUCGUUCGGUUGCGAAGCCGUAUAAAAAAAGGCAGGGAAGAGAAACUAGUACACAAGGGCUCGAGAUUGGGUUGCGUUUUAUGUUGGAUUGACAUUUUGAUGUGCCAUUAUUCCCACACGACGGGCUAAUUAGACUAAGUACCGUAAGGAAUGUUCGAUCUUGGCCGUCCUGGUGCUGUACGUUUCACAUAAACUUUCUUCUGAAAUCAGACAUCUUAUUAGUUUGAAUCAGACAUCAUAUUGGAAUAGGGUACGAUUGAAUCUCAGAAUCAAAUAUGCUACAUGAUCUUUGUCUUUUGGGCGAUACCGCUGAGCAGUCAUGAGCUUUAGCGAAAUGUCAAAAUUUGAGGUCAGUUAGAGAAUAUGAUUUCACAGAUGACCUUCUCUAACUUCAAUUUGAACAGGAAACAGGCAAACCUUUGAAAGGACCAAGAGCCUCUGAGAGUUUACCAUCAAUCGUCCGUCAUCGUACUUUUUUCUGAUAUUUUUAUCGCAUUUAAUCAAGAGCCAAUUCGGUGCUAUAAAGUGGUUAGAUAAUGUAUCAUAGGCUAUCAGGUUGAUUUGGUGUAAGAUUUUGAAUUUCUUCCAUAAAUUUAAAACACCUCGCGCGGACAAGUUGCUCACCCCUGGCGCGGAUGUUUUGCGCCGCACGGUAGGUACCGAGCCUGCGGUGCGUAAACCGCUUUGUUAAACUUCUUCGCUGGAUCGGUGCGGACGCCACAAAAUCGCGAGUCGUCGGACGUAAAGCCAACGCAAAAUACGCAGCUCUACACAUUCGCUCUCUGUAUUUGUGUGUGUUUUUUCUUUGUGUGUAUGUUUGAUCGUACGCGAGAGGCGUAAGGGCGUCGUUACCUUUGAAAGUGCGCCCUUUUUGUUCGCUGUUACUCCAGUUGAUUCGUUCGCAGUUUCAGUGUAAAGAAGUUUGUGUUGAUAUCGUUGGAGUGUUGCAACCGCAAAACAGUCCGGUUAUAGUAGUGCGCCCAGUACGAAAGGAAAUUCGUUGUGCGCUGUGCGAAACCAAUCAAAAGCAAAUAAGGCGUACACCGACGCCAACAGUGGUGUGUAGUAAAGUGAAUUUUUCCUCCCCCCAUCCUUCCCCUUUUCGGUCUGGAGACGUGUGCUUUGGCGAGGCGACAUCAAGAUGACUACCAAAGCGGAAAAUAAGAUCACGCUCAAGAUCGAAACCGCUAAAAAUAACCUGAUGAAAUCCCGUAAGUAGUAACACUAGCAGCAACACCCCCCGCACUGGAAUGCACUUUUUUGGACCUUCGUUUUUUUAUAUUUCCCUUCUUUCGGUGCAAUACUUGGUAUAUUGCGGCUGUGUGUGUGAAUGUGACAAAUAUUGUUGUGUACAAUCUUCAUAUUUCUUUGUGUCGCACAUUUGGGGAACAAAACUGCAUUUUCUGCACGCAAGUCGUGGGAAUGGCAAACGACGGCGUCAUACGAGUAAAACAAGCAAUUCAAUCAGCAAAAAAAAA